UACGGAGGGAGCUAGCGUUGUUCGGAAUUACUGGGCGUAAAGCGCACGUAGGCGGCUUUGUAAGUUAGAGGUGAAAGCCCGGGGCUCAACCCCGGAAUUGCCUUUAAGACUGCAUCGCUUGAAUCCGGGAGAGGUGAGUGGAAUUCCGAGUGUAGAGGUGAAAUUCGUAGAUAUUCGGAAGAACACCGGUGGCGAAGGCGGCUUCCUGGACCGACACUGACGCUGAGGCGCGAAAGCUAGGGGAGCAAACGGG
rnacentral:rRNA from 1 species